GUACACGCUGUGACUAGCAUAUCAAUAAGCGGAGGAAAAGAAACUAACAAGGAUUCCCUAGUAACGGCGAGUGAAGCGGGAAGAGCUCAAAUUUGAAAUCUUAAAGGGUUUCCCUUUACGAAUUGUAGUUUAAAGAAGUGUUUUCUGUUGAGGUUUUGGUAAAAGUUCUUUGGAAUAGGACAUCAUAGAGGGUGAGAAUCCCGUAUUUGACCUUUACUUUCAACUUUGUGAUACACUUUCAAAGAGUCGGAUUGUUUGGGAAUGCAGUCCAAAAUGGGUGGUAAAUUUCAUCUAAAGCUAAAUAUUGGCGAGAGACCGAUAGCGAACAAGUACCGUGAGGGAAAGAUGAAAAGAACUUUGAAAAGAGAGUUAAACAGUACGUGAAAUUGUCAAAAGGGAAGCGUUUGACACCAGUGUUGUUUUUCUGAAAAUCAAUUAAAGAACUGUUUAUGCUAAGCUGUUUAGACUUUAUCAGCUAUCUGUUUAGUUUUGAGCUUUUCUUUAAUGCACUUUUCAGUUAACAAGUCAACAUCAAUUUCUUUUGCUGUAAAAAAGCUUGAGGAAGGUGGCUUGAGAUUCGUCUUAAGUGUUUAUAGCCUCUUGCCUAUGCAGUCGGAGAGAUUGAGGUCUGCAGCGUAGAUCCUUCGGGGCUAAAUGCAUUUGUGCUAAGUUAUAGCAUUUUAUAGACAACUUGUUGACUAUGAUUUGUCUUGUAGCUUACUCGCUUAUGUUAUUUUACCUACGCUUAGGAUGUUGAAGUCAUCGUAUCGCGC
rnacentral:rRNA from 1 species